CCUACGGGAGGCAGCAGUGGGGAAUCUUGCGCAAUGGGCGAAAGCCUGACGCAGCAACGCCGCGUGCGGGAUGAAGGCCUUCGGGCUGUAAACCGCUUUCAGCAGGAACGAAAAUGACGGUACCUGCAGAAGAAGGAGCGGCCAACUACGUGCCAGCAGCCGCGGUGACACGUAGGCUCCAAGCGUUGUCCGGAUUUAUUGGGCGUAAAGAGCUCGUAGGCGGUCUAGUAAGUCGGGUGUGAAAACUCUGGGCUCAACCCAGAGACGCCAUCCGAUACUGCUGUGACUUGAGUUCAGGAGGGGAGCGGGGAAUUCCUAGUGUAGCGGUGAAAUGCGCAGAUAUUAGGAGGAACACCGGUGGCGAAGGCGCCGCUCUGGACUGAAACUGACGCUGAGGAGCGAAAGCAUGGGUAGCAAACAGGAUUAGAUACCCUGGUAGUCCAUGCCGUAAACGGUGGGCACUAGGUGUGGGUUUCAACUAACGAAAUCCGCGCCGUCGCUAACGCAUUAAGUGCCCCGCCUGGGGAGCACGGUCGCAAGACUAAAACUCAAAUGAAUUGACGGCUGAGACGNGCGAGCGACGACGAGGGAGAG
rnacentral:rRNA from 1 species